rnacentral:rRNA from 1 species
GAUAAACGCUGGCGGCGUGCAUGAGACAUGCAAGUCGAACGGACGACUCGGGCUUGCUCGAGUCGUUAGUGGCGGACGGCUGAGUAACGCGUAGGUGACCUGCCCCGAAGUGGGGGAUAACUGCCCGAAAGGGUGGCUAAUACCGCAUGUGGUGGUUCGUUCAAUCGACCCAUCAAAGCAGCAAUGCGCUUCGGGAGGGGCCUGCGUCCGAUUAGCUCGUUGGUGGGGUAACGGCUCACCAAGGCGACGAUCGGUAGGUGGUCUGAGAGGACGAUCACCCAGACUGGGACUGAGACACGGCCCAGACUCCUACGGGAGGC